ACGCUAGCUACAGGCUUAACACAUGCAAGUCGAGCCCUAGAAUGGUCUUAGCUUGCUAAGGCCGAUGGCGACCGGCGCACGGGUGAGUAACACGUAUCCAACCUGCCGUCUACUCUUGGACAGCCUUCUGAAAGGAAGAUUAAUACAAGAUGGCAUCAUGAGUCCGCAUGUUCACAUGAUUAAAGGUAUUCCGGUAGACGAUGGGGAUGCGUUCCAUUAGAUAGUAGGCGGGGUAACGGCCCACCUAGUCUUCGAUGGAUAGGGGUUCUGAGAGGAAGGUCCCCCACAUUGGAACUGAGACACGGUCCAAACUCCUACGGGAGGCAGCAGUGAGGAAUAUUGGUCAAUGGGCGAGAGCCUGAACCAGCCAAGUAGCGUGAAGGAUGACUGCCCUAUGGGUUGUAAACUUCUUUUAUAAAGGAAUAAAGUCGGGUAUGCAUACCCGUUUGCAUGUACUUUAUGAAUAAGGAUCGGCUAACUCCGUGCCAGCAGCCGCGGUAAUACGGAAGAUCCGAGCGUUAUCCGGAUUUAUUGGGUUUAAAGGGAGCGUAGAUGGAUGUUUAAGUCAGUUGUGAAAGUUUGCGGCUCAACCGUAAAAUUGCAGUUGAUACUGGAUAUCUUGAGUGCAGUUGAGGCAGGCGGAAUUCGUGGUGUAGCGGUGAAAUGCUUAGAUAUCACGAAGAGCUCCGAUUGCGAAGGCAGCCUGCUAAGCUGCAACUGACAUUGAGGCUCGAAAGUGUGGGUAUCAAACAGGAUUAGAUACCCUGGUAGUCCACACGGUAAACGAUGAAUACUCGCUGUUUGCGAUAUACGGCAAGCGGCCAAGCGAAAGCGUUAAGUAUUCCACCUGGGGAGUACGCCGGCAACGGUGAAACUCAAAGGAAUUGACGGGGGCCCGCACAAGCGGAGGAACAUGUGGUUUAAUUCGAUGAUACGCGAGGAACCUUACCCGGGCUUAAAUUGCAGAUGAAUUACGGUGAAAGCCGUAAGCCGCAAGGCAUCUGUGAAGGUGCUGCAUGGUUGUCGUCAGCUCGUGCCGUGAGGUGUCGGCUUAAGUGCCAUAACGAGCGCAACCCUUGUUGUCAGUUACUAACAGGUUCCGCUGAGGACUCUGACAAGACUGCCAUCGUAAGAUGUGAGGAAGGUGGGGAUGACGUCAAAUCAGCACGGCCCUUACGUCCGGGGCUACACACGUGUUACAAUGGGGGGUACAGAGGGCCGCUACCACGCGAGUGGAUGCCAAUCCCAAAAACCUCUCUCAGUUCGGACUGGAGUCUGCAACCCGACUCCACGAAGCUGGAUUCGCUAGUAAUCGCGCAUCAGCCACGGCGCGGUGAAUACGUUCCCGGGCCUUGUACACACCGCCCGUCAAGCCAUGGGAGCCGGGGGUACCUGAAGUGCGUAACCGCGAGGAG
rnacentral:rRNA from 1 species